rnacentral:rRNA from 1 species
AUUGAACGCUGGCGGCAUGAUUUACACAUGCAAGUCGAACGGUAACAGGCCGCAAGGUGCUGACGAGUGGCGAACGGGUGAGUAAUGCAUCGGAACGUGCCCAGUCGUGGGGGAUAACUACUCGAAAGAGUAGCUAAUACCGCAUACGAUCUAUGGAUGAAAGCGGGGGACCGUAAGGCCUCGCGCGAUUGGAGCGGCCGAUGUCAGAUUAGGUAGUUGGUGGGGUAAAGGCUCACCAAGCCAACGAUCUGUAGCUGGUCUGAGAGGACGACCAGCCACACUGGGACUGAGACACGGCCCAGACUCCUACGGGAGGCAGCAGUGGGGAAUUUUGGACAAUGGGCGCAAGCCUGAUCCAGCAAUGCCGCGUGCAGGAAGAGGGCCUUCGGGUUGUAAACUGCUUUUGUACGGAACGAAACGGCUCUGGUUAAUACCCGGGGCUAAUGACGGUACCGUAAGAAUAAGCACCGGCUAACUACGUG